rnacentral:rRNA from 1 species
GACGAACGCUGGCGGCGUGCUUAACACAUGCAAGUCGAACGGAAAGGCCCUGCUUGCAGGGUACUCGAGUGGCGAACGGGUGAGUAACACGUGGGUGAUCUGCCCUGCACUUCGGGAUAAGCCUGGGAAACUGGGUCUAAUACCGGAUAGGAGCCAUUUUUAGUGUGAUGGUUGGAAAGUUUUUUCGGUGUAGGAUGAGCUCGCGGCCUAUCCGCUUGUUGGUGGGGUAAUGGCCUACCAAGGCGGCGACGGGUAGCCGGCCUGAGAGGGUGGACGGCCACAUUGGGACUGAGAUACGGCCCAGACUCCUACGGGAGGCAGCAGUGGGGAAUAUUGCACAAUGGGCGCAAGCCUGAUGCAGCGACGCCGCGUGGGGGAUGACGGCCUUCGGGUUGGAAACUCCUUGCGCUAGGGACGAAGCUUUUUGUGACGGUACCUAGAGAAGAAGCACCGGCUAACUACGUG